rnacentral:tRNA from 1 species
UGGCUCAAAGGUUAAGAGCACUGACUGCUCUUUCAGAGGUCCUGGGUUCAAUUCCCAG